CGCUCCCAUUGUUUUUCCACUGAUCUCUAUUCCCAACUGAAGGGACGAGGCAGGUUAUAUCGACCAGUUUCAACAGGUAAUCUAUGUGCUCAGAUCCUUAGUUUUGUAACAGCUUGACGAUAUAUAUGUCAUAUAUGCUUGACGAUAUAUAUGUAAUAUGAUAUAUACAGUACAUGUGUCAGUAUGCAUGGAGCGAGUUGGUAUAGCCAAGGUUAUACUGUAUUUGCCCGUUUAAUUAAGCGGAGCCCCCGAUUAAGCGUCGCAUAGACUUUUUAACCCCGAUUAAGCGUUGAUUAGACUUUGCGUCAUCGUCGGGAUAUAGUUCUAAAAGGGUUUCUGCAAACUGACUGCUGCUUAUGGCUAGGGGUAAAACGCGGAAACGGACUGGCGGAACCGGAAUGGCGGAACCGGAAAAGCGAAAGGGUAAAACGCGGAAAAAAGGGUAAAACGCGGAAAAAAAGAGUAAAACGCGGAAAAAAGGGUAAAACGCGGAAAAAAGAGUAAAACGCGGAAAAAAGGGUAAAACGCGGAAAAAAGAGUAAAACGCGGAAAAAAAAGGUAAAACGCGGAAAAAAGGGUAAAACGCGGAAAAAAGGUAAAACGCGGAAAAAA